UGUUUGACAGGGUUUUAAUUUGCCAAAGAUAGGGGCAUUAGACACAGUUCCCACGGUGACAACUUUAAAAGUAGGGCGCUCGCCAGACUAACAACGAAACCCGGAAAGGAAUCGCUUCUUGUGUUGACAUUCCCAAGAAAACUGUGAGCGUUCUCACGUCUCUACCUGUUUGUGGUCAAGUUCGUCCCUUUGACCGGUCCGUGACAUGGUCAAACAUUAAAGACACGCCGUGUUCUAACACGUAGACUCGACAGAGUCGUGAAGGUAACAAUGAAAGUCUACCAUCUUAACAUCCCAGACAGAGUCGUUGAUUCGAUAAACACCUGGGCGAACCGACAACGCGGCUGAAGACUGGAGCAGAAGCGAAGAUCAACAAAUGACGUUCGUUUCUUGAUAUAGAUCUUUGAAGUAACACGAGAGUCGAUUUUAUUGCCAAGUAUUACACUUAUAUGGUAAUUUAACGUGCAUUAUUUGUUGAUUGACAAUAAAUUGGCGUACUUCUGGUGUAGCUCCCGUUUGUAAGGAGAUGAGAUAAAAUAAGAAUGGGAAUGAAUUGGUACUAGAAGAGGGAAAGCUGUAACUCAUUUCUGUUACAUAGGUAUAAUUCGGUUAGGAGGGUUCUGCUGAUGACAUUUCCCAUGUUUCGUUUCGCGCCAUUUAGCAAAACGUCACGCAUGACGUCAGACGUACAUACAUCAACAGACAUAGGACGAUACCAUUUUGGCAUCCUUACACAGAGGGAUCCGAUUCUUACAUACCGAAUCAUGUAUACAACAGUCAGUGAAACACGAAAAGUACGUGCUCUGACACUUGCAGUCAGGCGAAAAAUUCAAAAACAUUCAACACUCAAGUCCGCGUGCUAAUUUUCUGACUCUUAGUGCUAGGUUUUUGCUUUAAUUGUUUUAUCAGACCGUUUCGCUCCUAUCUUAGGUAUCUAUCGUCCAAUCGGGCCUGCUUUGACUCAAGACAUCCUAGCCCCAACAAGCGCACGUGUUGGACGAGAUCCCGCGCAGACUCUUCUGAUGUUACGAUAAGCAUUCUUGCAUUACGCGCUCUUCUUAUCGCGGAGGUAAGAAAACUCGACAUUCCGCCAUAUUCGUUAUCUAUUUCACUUUUUAUAUCAGUGGGUUAACAUCAGUGCUAUGAUAAACCCGUUACCCCCACGGGUAAGAAAACAAGUGCUUUUUACAGUCCGUGUCGUGGGGUUUUAUCUAAAGAUAUCACAGAUGAAAAAUCUGGCAGCUGAUGAUGUCGGUAUCAAGAAAUAAUAACUUUUUACCAGCUGUUAAAUAUCAUAUGCAUGUGAAUAUGUCCCCUUUUUCGUGCACUUGAAAGGGGAUAUAACAUUUCAAACGUUGUGAUAUUACACAAAAUUCGUUUCAAAUAGUUUAAUGUUGGCUAUUAAACAAUCGUUUGCAGUUUCAAAUUCCUCAAAAAGCGUUUUUGGAGAAAGAUAUCUAACUGCUCAUAACCGUUGAUGGUUCGAUCCUUGUACUUUGUUCCAUUUCAG